rnacentral:rRNA from 1 species
GAUGAACGCUGGCGGCGUGCCUAAUACAUGCAAGUCGAGCGAACAGACGAGGAGCUUGCUCCUCUGACGUUAGCGGCGGACGGGUGAGUAACAAGUGGAUAACCUACAUAUAAGACUGAGAUAACUUCGGGAAACCGGAGCUAAUACCGGGUAAUAUAUUGAACCGCAUGGUUCAAUAGUGAAAGACGGUUUUGCUGUCAAUUAUAGAUGGAUCCGCGCCGCAUUAGCUAGUUGGUAAGGUAACGGCUUACCAAGGCAACGAUGCGUAGCCGACCUGAGAGGGUGAUCGGCCACACUGGAAGUGAGACACGGUCCAGACUCCUGAGGGAGGCAGCAGUAGGGAAUCUUCCGCAAUGGGCGAAAGCCUGACGGAGCAACGCAGCGUGAGUGAUGAAGGUCUUCGGAUCGUAAAACUCUGUUAUUAGGGAAGAACAAAUGUGUAAGUAACUAUGCACGUCUUGACGGUACCUAAACAGAAAGCCACGGCUAACUACGUG